AUAACUCAGGGAUAGCCUUUCGGAAAGAAAGAUUAAUACCUGAUAGUACUUUUCAAGGCAUCUUGGAAAAAGUUAAAGAUUUAUUGGUUAUGGAUGAGGAUGCGUUCCAUUAGAUAGUUGGUGAGGUAACGGCUCACCAAGUCUUCGAUGGAUAGGGGUUCUGAGAGGAAGGUCCCCCACAUUGGUACUGAGACACGGACCAAACUCCUACGGGAGGCAGCAGUGAGGAAUAUUGGUCAAUGGGCGAGAGCCUGAAACCAGCCAAGUAGCGUGAAGGAUGAAAGGUCCUAUGGAUUGUAAACUUCUUUUAAUAGUAGAAUAAAGUGAGACCACGUGUGGUUUUCUGUAUGUAUACUAUGAAUAAGGAUCGGCUAACUCCGUGCCAGCAGCUGC
rnacentral:rRNA from 1 species